UACAGAGGGUGCAAGCGUUGUUCGGAAUUAUUGGGCGUAAAGGGCGCGUAGGCGGCUCGGCACGUCCGUUGUGAAAUCGCCCGGCUCAACUGGGCGGGGUCGGCGGAUACGGCCGAGCUGGAGCAAGCGUAGGGGAUAAUGGAAUUCCCGGUGUAGUGGUGGAAUGCGUAGAUAUCGGGAGGAACACCAGUGGCGAAGGCGGAUUACCUGGAGCUUUGGCUGACGCUGAUGCGCGAAAGCGUGGGGAGCGGAUCCGG
rnacentral:rRNA from 1 species